rnacentral:rRNA from 1 species
GGAGGUGGCAAGCGUUGUUCGGAUUUACUGGGCGUAAAGGGUGUGUAGGUGGUUUGGUAAGUUGGAUGUGAAAGACCUCAGCUCAACUGGGGAAUUGCAUUCAAAACUGCCAGACUAGAGGAAUUGGGAAGUGAGCGGAAUUCUAGGUGUAGCGGUGAAAUGCGUAGAUAUCUAGAAGAACACCAGUGGCGUAGGCGGCUCGCUAUCAUUCUCCUGACACUGAGGCACGAAAGCGUGGGGGAGCGAACGGGAUUAGAUACCCCGGUAGUCCACGCCGUAAACGAUGAGAACUGGGUGUACAGGGCAUCGACCCCCCUGUGUGCCGAAGCUAACGCAUUAAGUUCUCCGCCUGGGGAUACGGCCGCAAGGCUA